ACGAACGCUGGCGGCGUGCCUAAUACAUGCAAGUCGAGCGGAAUGAUGAAGAAGCUUGCUUCUUCUGAUUUUAGCGGCAGACGGGUGAGUAACACGUGGGCAACCUACCUUGUAGAUUGGGAUAACUCCGGGAAACCGGGGCUAAUACCGAAUAAUCCAUUUUGCUUCAUGGCGAGAUGUUGAAAGACGGUUUCGGCUGUCACUACAAGAUGGGCCCGCGGCGCAUUAGCUAGUUGGUAGGGUAAUGGCCUACCAAGGCGACGAUGCGUAGCCGACCUGAGAGGGUGAUCGGCCACACUGGGACUGAGACACGGCCCAGACUCCUACGGGAGGCAGCAGUAGGGAAUCUUCCACAAUGGACGAAAGUCUGAUGGAGCAACGCCGCGUGAGUGAAGAAGGUUUUCGGAUCGUAAAACUCUGUUGUAAGGGAAGAACACGUACGAGAGUAACUGCUCGUACCUUGACGGUACCUUAUUAGAAAGCCACGGCUAACUACGUG
rnacentral:rRNA from 1 species